rnacentral:lncRNA from 1 species
AACCUUAAAUCUUGUCACAUCACACAAAAAUGAAUAAAAAGUAUGGAUCCAUUAAACUCUUAUCGCAAUCAUAGGUCUGUCUACUCAGUACUCACGAUCCUAACUCCUAAGAGCCUACACUAAAUACAUGCACCCAAUAUUCCAUUAGAGUUUUAGUCAUGAUUUUUGUAAUUAAUCAAAACAUUAACCCAAAAAGUGUUUUUCUAAUUUUUGAAAUCAAAAUAUAUUUAAUGAAUCAAUGAUGAUGCAAAUAAGAUAUGACAAAGAAAAAAAAGUAGAAUUUUAUUUAUAUUACGAAUUAUUUUUUUUAGAUAAUAUAUUAUUGUCCAAUAAUAUAUAUAGUAAACCUUAGUUUUAUUGAAAGUUCUUUAAACUUUUGUCUAUUUAAAAUUCUAUACAGGCCGUGCAAAUUUAAUAUGGAGAAAAUCUAUUUGGCAAACAUAAUUCUGGAUUUACACUCAAAUCCAAAAAGAUCAUCAAUAACCUUCUAACAAAUAGACUCAAAACCAGCUAGCCGCCAAGGGAUCGGAUUUAAUUUCAACUCUAAUUGGGAGGUUCUGCUAAUGAGGUUAUUCUGCAAAUUACUCAUAAAACUCACUCCUAAUCUUUACUCAUGUGUGUUAAAAGGAAGAGAGGACCUUUUCUACUACCUACUACUAAAGCAGUCAAAAAUUUCCAAGAAUCCCUUAAUGUUUUGAAAUCGUAUUUUUAUCGAAAUUAAACGAAAUUACACGUGGCAUUAAGAAAGGCAUCCAAAAGAUGAUGAAAGCGUGAAGCUGAUGGAAGCCGCCUCUCAUAUGAAUCUUGUUCAAAGUCAAGGCCACAAGGUCUGACCAUCUCCUCCUCUUCUUCUCCAUCUUCUACUCUUUUCAACGGUCAAACAUUUUAUCACCUUCUCAGAAACUACACAUCUUUUUUUUUUUUCAUUUGUGCCAUAAAAAAAACCAAAAAAAUAAAUAAUUAUUCACCAAUCAGACCGUGCAAUAUGUUUUUUUAUAUAUACAGACAGAACAAACAAAUACAUAAACAUUGCAAGAAACCCAUCGCAUCAACCUUUUUUUUCUUCUUCUUCGCCCCCUUCUCCAAGCUCUCCUAACACUUUCUAUAAAUAUCUGAAAUCAGUCUUUCAUAAGAAAGGUAAAAAACUUCCAUUUUUAUGUAUGGCUGCUUCUUCUCUUCUUACUAUGGACAAUAGCAGAACCAGACGAAACAUGAGUGGUUCUGCUAAUUGGUCACAACAAACCGGAAGAACAUCAACGUCAUCUCUAGAGGACCUUGAGAUCCCAAAGUUCAGAUCUUUUGCUCCUUCUUCCAUCUCAAUCUCUCCUUCUCUUGUCUCUCCUUCCACUUGUUUCAGUCCCUCUGUUUUCCUCGAUUCCCCUGCUUUUGUCGCCUCCUCUGCUAACGUAAGCCUCUCUGUUUUUUUUUUUUUGUCAAUUUCUUUUUACAUGAAUUAGACUAAUGAUUAUCUGGGCUUCUUGUAAAGAUCAUUAAUUUAUCAUCUGUUGUUGAAGAAAAUGAAUUGUGAUCGGAAGUAAUAAAAGUCAUGGGUCAACGAUUUCUUUAGGAGAGAGAUAAACAGAGAGAGUGAGAGUGUUUUGAAAAUCAUGCUUGAUUCUAUUCUCAGGUUACGUUGCUUAAUUAUAUUGAUGUUUGCCUCCCUUGCUUGAAUUCUGAACAAAUCCCUAAUUUUAUUUGAAAACCCCUAAUUAGAGAGAAAGUUUCAAGGCAGAGUAAAUGAUAGUAUUACUGUUUUGCAGGUUCUUGCUUCUCCAACCACAGGAGCUCUUAUCACAAACGGAAGUAACCAGAAAGAUAUAAAUGAAGAAGAGAAGAAGAACAAAAACAACAUUAACUUCUUCGAUUUCUCAUUCCAGACACAGUCAUCAGGAGUUUCUGCUCCUACAACAACAACAACAAACACUUCUAUCCAUUCACAGGUAUGUUUCUCAACAGCUCAAUCCUCUAAUCCCUUUUUUCUCUCAUGGGUUGUUCCUCAACUUUAAAUGUUUUGUGUUGCAGGAACAACAGAGGAAGAACCAGUCAGAUCAAUGGAGCCAAACGGAGACUCGUCCAAACAAUCAAGCUGCAUCUUACAAUGGAAGGGAGCAAAGGAAAGGAGAAGAUGGUUACAACUGGAGAAAGUACGGACAGAAACAGGUGAAAGGGAGCGAGAAUCCUCGGAGUUACUAUAAGUGUACUUUCCCAAGCUGUCCAACGAAGAAGAAAGUGGAGCGAUCUUUGGAAGGUCAGAUAACAGAGAUUGUGUAUAAGGGAAGCCAUAACCAUCCUAAGCCUCAGUCCACCAGAAGAUCAUCUUCUUCUUCCACAUUUCAUUCAGCUGUGUUUAAUGCCGGCCUUGAUCAUCAUGGUUCUUCUGAUCAACCCAAUUCCAAUAAUAGCUUCCAUCACUCUGAUUCCUUUGCAAUCCAACAAGAGGAUAAUACUACUUCUGGUUCUAUUGGAGACGAUGAGUUUGAGCGAGGCUCAUCGGUUAUCAGCAGAGAAGAAGAAGAUUGUGGCAGUGAACCUGAAGCAAAGAGAUGGUAAGAUCAUCCAUCAAUGUCUAAAUUCGUCACUCUUUAAACAACCUAGAAUGAGAAAGUUUCUAACAUUCUUAAUGUUUGUUUUUUUGUGUGUUUUAGGAAAGGAGAACAUGAAACAAACGGUGGGAAUGGUAAUGGAAGUAAGACAGUGAGAGAGCCAAGAAUUGUCGUGCAGACAACAAGUGACAUCGACAUUCUUGAUGAUGGUUACAGAUGGAGAAAAUACGGCCAAAAGGUCGUCAAGGGAAACCCAAAUCCAAGGUAAUAACAUAAAGAUUUGAACUUCUCACUAAUUACAAUUAAUCAAGGCUCUAAGAAUCUAACAUUUGAUGUUUCUUUUGACUUGAUGAAUCUAACAGAAGCUACUACAAGUGCACAACCAUCGGUUGCCCCGUGAGAAAACAUGUUGAGAGAGCAUCACACGAUCUGAGAGCGGUAAUAACAACCUACGAAGGGAAACAUAACCACGACGUACCUGCAGCUCGUGGUAGCGGUUACGCCACAAACAGACCGUCACAGGAUUCUUCUUCAGCCCCAAUUAGACCAGCUGCUAUUGCUGGUCACUCCAAUUACACUACUUCUUCUCAAGCACCAUAUACGCUUCAGAUGCUGCAGAACAACACUAAUUCCGGGAGUUUUGGUUACGCUAUGAACAAUAAUAACAACAACCUUCAAACGCAACAAAACUUUGGUGGUGGUGGUGGGUUCUCUAGAGCAAAGGAAGAACCAAACGAGGAGUCCUCGUUUUUUGAUUCGUUUUUGUCGUGAAGAAGAACCUAUCUUUCCUUUUGUACAUUUCUGCCAGAAAAGGGUUUAUCUACUUACUAGUAAUCCUGCAGAUACUAAGACUAUAGGCUAUAGUCCAUAGAGAAAUUAUUUCAUUUGUUUUUUUUCCGUGGCUCUUGCGAGCUUUCACACGCCUGUAAUAUCUUUACUGUUUUUGUACCAUACAAGUAGAAAAAUGGAAUAAAGCCAGUCAAUUUUCACAUGUUUUCACUUUGUAUAAUAAUGUAUCAAAAGAAUAACACACACACAGUUCAAAGACGCGAAUAACAGAAGCAGUACUGUCUUGAUCAGUAUCAGCUAUAUGAACACAUAUAAAAGAAUGAGAUUUACACGUAUUGCAGAGAUGACCACGGUAUAAAAACGAUUGAAAGCACAUAUUGCAGAGAGAGGCUUGAAGCGGAUUCAGAUAAAAGAAUGAGUGGAGAGUUUGUAACCAGAGAGGAGAGCAGAGAGAGCUAAAGAGACGAAGGCGAAGAUAGCCAUGCUGAUAGCUGAAGCAGCGGAAUCAGUGAAUAUGUUAUCUUGACCUUCUCUGAAUCUGUUGGUCAAUGGAAUUGCAGAAGACGCAGCUGAUAUGAGAAGAUACGCAACAAUCUGCAAUUACAAAAAAAACAAAACUUUUUAACUGUUUUACGAAAAAGUGAUCCUCUUUUCAAUUUCUUUACAGUUUCGGUAUCUUCGUUACCUGGUCGCCGGAGAAAUCGAGCAAGAUGGAAGUCCGGCGAUCGAAGAAUUCCCUUUUCGAGAAAUGAGCAAACGUUUGCCACGCAGUGUAUAAUGUUGAAAUUAUCGCAAUCGCCAAUACAUAUCUGAAGAAAAUAAAAAAACUUGAGAGUCGAAAAAUGAGAAAUCUCAAAACUUUAACAGAAAUUCCCCGUGAAUUUCAAAACCCAAGUAUCAAAAUCGAUCAUUUCUGUAUCGGAAUUAAUGGAAUCGGACCUGUACUCUUCGUAAUCGUCGAAGUUUCGGCCGUAUCCAUGUUUAUUAGAUACCAUAAUAAUGAAUGCAAGGAGAGAGAACAAGAGACACACUCCUCUCAUAAUCGGAGACGCUUUCUUUAUCAAAUCCUCCCUUUUCCAUCUCUGAGUAAUCGCAGAAAACGACGACGUCUUAGUCUCCGUCGUCUCCGCCGGUGCCUCCACGUCGGCGGCAACUUCAACCGGUUUCUGGUUAUCGGGAUUUGUCAUGCCGAGAAUUCUCCGAUAGAUCUCAAAACUCCGAUCGGAAUCGGUUUGCUUUCAGUUCUUAUGAAUGCGAAGAAUCGGGAGAAGGGAUAACAAACUUGGAAGAAAAGAAAACUCCAAAUUUUUUGGUUGUAAAAAUAUGAUUUAAGGUUUGGGGUUUUAUUAAGCUAAAUGAGGAAAGCGCGUAACGGCGGGAGUGAUUAAGUUAAUGAAAGUGAUUAAACAGUUUAUGAAGCGCACGGCGCGUAACAAAAAGAUUCAUUUACAAAGCGUAUAAGUUAGUCGUGGCCUGCAUUUACAGACAGCGAAUCCUAGGAAUCUCAUUGGCGGACUAAAAAAUAAAAAUAAAAAAUUCGGUUAAACUUUGUUUUCCCAAUAAAAAAUCCUGACUCUUCUAAAGACUGAAGAGAAACAUAAAAUCCGUGUAAAAGAAGAAAAAUCGUUGUGUUUAAUUAGGGACGUUAAAGAAUAAUUAUAUUUACCAUGAAUUUGUUUGGAGAGUAUUUUCUAGAAACAUUGAAUAUUUGUCGUUUUAUUGUAAGUUUGAUGAAUACGGUGAUUAUCAUUAACUCAUCCUAUAAAUAUCAAGCCAUAUGUAAUUUGAGAAGUUGUGAUGCAUGUUACAUAAAUUUCAUGCAAAGAAGAAUUCGUGUUCCACAAGUUCAAGAAAUAUAUAGUUUAGAAAGUUUUAGGGUCUUUAUGACCAUAAAAAAGUUAUAGGGUCUUUAGAUAAAUUAUUAUAGGCUGUCAUUUGUUUCUUUUUUUGUUUUUGUUUUGGUUAAAACACUAAGUUUUUCUUCAUGACGAUUAUCUCUUUGGUCGUAUCUCGAAUCAAACUCGAUUUUAAGAUUGUAAACCUAGUAAAUCAGAUAUAGUGUACUAUAGAAUUAAGAUUUUGUGCGGACGUUGCAUGAUAAAUUCAUAGAUUAUCAAUGUUGUUUUAGAAAUAGAUUUAUGCUAACAUUCUGUACUUUCAAGAAGAAUUCGAUCAGGAAGAUCGUUAUAUAUACAAGCUUUCAAAACUACGAUAUAAUUCUAAUUUACUAAUUACAAGAAAGCACAAGUUUAGUUUAGCAAAAAAAAAAAGAAAAGAAAGCACAAGUCGUAUGUUUUGUUGGUUUGUCAAUGAUAGAUGAACUUCUCGCAUACUUAAAAACAAAGCAAACAAAAAAAACUACUUUACGGGGGAGAUUAGUUAUUUCGAAACUCAAGACAGUAGGUCAGGGUUAUAAUAGUUCAACAAAGUUUACAACAAGUGGAGUUCUCAAUUUUUAAGGAAGUUUAAUGAUGGAUAACAUCGUGUCCUGGACUCCUGGUUACGUUUUGAAUACAAGACCUUGACUAAGUCUACCACACUCUUGUAGUCUUCAGUAUGUUGUUUCAGAAUAUUGUUAACGACUUGGAGAACUUUAGAACUCGGCUUAGACCAAAAAAAAAAAACUUUAGAACUCGGCGUGUCAGAUUUUGCAUUGACCACCAUUAGAUAUGCUUAUCAGCAGGCAUCACAUCGAUUUGUGGCAUUGUAAGAUGUUUGAAAUUUUAAUUUAAUGUAAAUUCAUUUUACCAAACAUAAUUUAACUUUGAUUAAUUCUUAAAGAGCGUAAUUGUUUUUCAAUGCCAUAUGUGUGAUAACCUACAAAGUCUUUCAUAUUUUUUAUUAUUAAAUGCUCCAUUAUUUAAUUUAAAGGAACAUUAAGUCGGAAAAAUCAACCUUCUUACACAAAUAACAAAGGAAAAAUCUUACGUCAAUUUAUAUCUUAUCUCAUAAUAUUUUUUAAUAUAUAUAUAUAUAUAUAAUGUUCAACCAAAAAAAUAUAAAAUAUAAAUUAAUCCUGUCUUUGGCUUAUACCGAUAACAUGCAUGUAAUAUUAAAUUUGAGCUAAGGUGAAUGUUAUAAUUUGAUGUAGCUUGUAGUAAAAAAAAUUAAAGAAAUUUAUUGUUUCUUUCCUCUUAAAUCACACGAUAUAAUUUUAAAAACUGGACUAAUUUUUAUUCUUAUAAUUAGAUAUAAAAAAGCAAAAAUCAACUCAACCUUUCAUACAUAUGGUUUUCUAUAAUGCUGAAUUAACUUUUGAAUUAUCAAGUUUAUAAAAAAAAUACAUAAUUCAAAACUGUAAACUAGCCAUCACACAUUAUAACACAAAUUUAAUGAUUGAUAACAUUUUCUUACAUCAAUAAGUCAAAUUAAAUUAAAGAUAUCACAUGCUAUGCUAUUAAUCACACCCUUUAUUUACUGUAUCUCGACAUAUGUCAUAUGUAAGUUAUUGCAGAAAAUAUAUAUUAAAUAAGGGAUAUUUUGAAAAAAAAUUAUGUAUUUGGAUAAACCUAAAACGAAGGGGGCGCAUCAAAGGCACCACCGACUAAAUAACAAUAGGUUUGGGAUCAUAUUAGACCCAGCCCCGAUUCACCGUCCGGUUCUCCUUUCUCUUCAUCGUCAUCAAUCUUUCGUUUUCCUGUUUACGGUUUCUUCGCUGCCAAGAAUCGAACGACGCGAAUUGGAUCCGAAUCUCAAAUCUGCACUCCAACUCCAAUCACGAGCCCUUUGCUUUUCCCCGAUUAUCUCCUUUUGAUAUCGGUAAGUUUCCUUGUCUCUCUCUGCCCACUAUCUCUCUUGAGUCGUUCACAUUGCACCGUGACUUAAUUCGAGCUCGCUCCCGAACUGGGUUUCCCUGGUUCUGGUCGCUAAUUGUAUAAAUCGAAUCGAUUUUUCCAUUUUUGAAUGUGGGCGGUCUUCAAUUUGAUUCGAUUGUUCGUGCAUUAGGUGUUUUGUUGAUUCUCCAAGCCCUAAAUUUUUGCUGAAGUUCUUUGAGCUGGGGCUAGUAUACUUCGAUGGUAUACAACCUGGAAGGGAGAAUAAGGUUAGGGUUUUCUGUCGUGAGCACAUCCCCUGAGUUUCCGAGUUUAGGGUUUUUUUUUUGGAAUUGAUUCGGUCUGCUAAGAAGAAGAAAAGGGUUGGUUUGAGAGGAUAAUGUGUAUAUUGUGUGUUAUUCAAAAGUGGUCUCGCCGGGUUGCAACGAUGCUGCCUUGGUUGGUUUUACCGUUGAUUGGACUAUGGGCUCUGUCUCAGCUUCUUCCACCAGCUUUUCGUUUCGAAAUAACUUCUCCGAGGCUAGCUUGUGUAUUUGUGCUUUUGGUUACUUUGUUCUGGUACGAGGUCUUGAUGCCUCAGCUAUCUACUUGGCGGGUGCGGAGAAAUGCUCGUCUUAGGGAGAGAAAGCGAUUUGAAGCUAUGGAGCUGCAAAAGCUAAAGAAAACCGCUACACGGCGUUGCCGUAACUGCUCAACACCUUACCGUGACCAGAAUCCAGGUGGUGGACGGUUUAUGUGCUCAUAUUGUGGGCAUAUAUCUAAGAGGCCUGUUUUAGACAUACCUGUGCCUCCAGGGUUAGGGCUUUCUGGUUCUGGAAUUUUGAAGGAUCUUGUUGGAAGAGGUGGUAAGAUGUUGAAUGGAAAGGGAUGGAAUGAGAAUGGAUGGAUGCACGGGCCAGAAUGGUCAGAAAACAGCACAUGGACUAGCGAGUCAACCUAUUGGCGGAAUAAUAGUGGUAGUACAUUUGGAGAAGAUGAGAAUUGUUUGGGGGAUAGAUCAUAUCCUGGUGGCGUUGUUUUUGCUUGCCGACUCCUUACUUCUUUUUUUAUGAGCAUUAGGUGGCUUUGGAGAAAGAUUUUUAGCUUUAGCUCUUCGGUUGAUGAGUCGUCAACUGAUGCUGACCAGAGGCGAUUACUGUCGAGACAGGGUGAGAAUGGGACCAGCUAUCAUGAGAGCAGGGUUGAGAAAGCACGCAGAAAAGCUGAGGAGAAAAGACAAGCUAGGCUGGAAAAGGAGCAUUUGGAGGAAGAAGAGAGAAAACAACGAGAGGAAGUCGCGAGACUAGUGGAGGAACGGAGGAAGUUGAGAGAUGAAAAAAUUGAAGCCGAGAAAUGCAGCAAAUCAUCACCUGGUUCCAAGGAAAAGGAUAUUAAAAAAGAGGCAGAAAAGAAGCGCCAGGAGAGGAAGAAGGAAAAAGAUAAGACCUCUAGUAAGAGCAAUUCCGAUGCAGAAGAGCUUGACAAGAGAAUAGGAAAGGAAACUGAGCAUAAGCGUGAGCUUGAUAAGAAUAAUCAUUCCGAACAUCAGAGGCAUGCGUCUGAUAAUUCCAGGAGCCCCAUGGAAAGGAGACAUGGGCACGGGGUAGAUAAUAAUGGUACUAGUAACACUAACACGACAGGAGCUGGCGGUAGGUACUUUGAUCGAGUGAAGGGUACGUUCUUCUCUUCUUCUAAGGCUUUUACAGAUAACCGGUUCUUUGGAAGAGGUGUCAAUAUGUCUGCUACAAUUGCAAAAGAGAAUAAGCCCAUCGGCUCUACAGAUCAUUCUCAUGCAUCUGCUCAUACGAGGCAUAUUAAUCCUCCUGAAUUUGUGGCUGGAAAAUCUGGUUCAAAUGGAGGAGAAAGGAAUACUAAUCGUCCUGUAAGUGUUCUUGCCAAAUUGCUUAUGUCAUUAUGAUCCGGUUCAUGAAAGCAGUCUACUUUUUUGCAGUUAUAAAUCACCCGUCUCUUUUGAUUUCAUCUAUUUUUUGUUUGUUAAGUUGAUAAGUUUGUCAUAUAAUUUUCCAAAGUCGUUAUGUUCUUGAAGUAUGUUCAACUUAGAUUUGGUUCUAGUUUUCUUCAGCUUGUUUUAUAAGGACACUGAUAAAUAUUAUGAUGUUCCCUCAGGUUAUUACUGAGCCGCAGCCAAGUGGAGAACCUAAAAAGUCAUGGCAGCAACUAUUCACCCGUUCGCCGUCUGUGCCUGCUUCCUCCAGUGUUAAUGUUAUAAGCCGACCUAGUACAAAGCCCAAAACCGUUCAGAAUUCACAGGCUCCUUGUCAAGAUCAUUCAAUACGAACCUUUGACAAUCCAAUCAGUUUUGGGCUCCCAUCACCAUUCACUAUGCCAACAUACUCUAGCGGAUCGACUAUCGGUAGCUUAGGUUUCUCAUCUGAAAGAGAUAUUGUUCUCUCUCAGGCUGGGGAAAAUGCUCGUCCUUUUAUCCCCGAAGAAGAGCAUUUUGAAGAUCCAUGUUAUGUUCCGGAUCCAAUAUCUCUACUGGGACCUAUUUCAGAAUCACUUGAUCUAAGAGCUAAGUUUGAAACUGGUGUUGGACUGGAAAAACCCCAUUUAUUGAAGAAAUCUCCGAUUGAGUCUCCCUUGUCAAGAUUACGAGUUGCAGAUGAAAAACAGGUUAAUGAUGGAAGCUGGCAAAUGUGGAAGACCACCUUUGGCCAAGACCUACUUCUACCUUCAGAUAAUACUAGACCUAACGAGGAGAAUGGCUUGCAUCAUGUGCCUCAUAAUAGGACGUCAUCAUUAUUUGCAAAAGAUGACCCUAUUCACAGUACUUAUUCACACAGGAAGGACUGUUUUGAAAAUGAUCAGAGAAGUGGCACGUUCAGCCCCGUUGCUGGUCCAAGCAAUCAUGAUCCUUGGUCGCAGAAAAUGUUUCUCCCAGCAUCAUCCGGCACAGAGAGUCUUUUGUCGCUAAGUCGACCAGAAGAACCAGGCCCGAACAAUGUUGCAUUCAUGAGUCCAACUGGGUUGGCUCCGGAGAAUCCAUUCGAACACGCUUCUCCGAAUCACUGGCUCAAGUAAGACUAGCUUCUUCUUGCUUUUUCCCUAGGCUAUAGAACAGCCUGUUUGAAUGGUUCUGUGACACACUGAGUUUCUGUCUGGAUCGCAUUGGUUAUAGAUUAGGUAGGUUGUUUAGAACUUGGCUACAUUUGGAACAAUGGCAAAGAAGUGUAAUGAUUUUGGGUAUUGUUAAUAAUGUGCAGGAAAGUGAAGAAGACUGGGGAUGGGACUGGUAGGCAAUUUGUGGAGGGUCAAUUCCUAAACCAAGAUGUACCGUCGUUUUGGUAGUCAGAAAUUCAAGAAAGAAACAAAAAAACAAAAACAAAAGAAAAAACAUUAAAGAUCAUUUUGGGACACAACUUUUGCAGAUAUACCUCGUCUGUCUUUGUCCUCUGGUUUUCAUCAAUCUAAGAUUUUAAGUUUUUACCUAAAAAAGACGGUUAGCUUCGAUAGACUUACACAGAGGCGGACCCAUGCCUUCCCUAAUGCCACAUUUUUAAUAUUUAGAUCUAGAAAAUAACAAAAACAAUAAGUUUCAAAAUCAUAUUUAAGUAGUAAGAUCUACUUUUAUUUCGUAAUUGGUUCAAUCUAUCUUUUUAUUAUGUAUUAGAACUAGAUGUUUUUAUAUAUCAAAGUAUAAUCUAACAACAUUUUUAUGACGAAAUCAUAAACCAAAAUCAAACAAAAUAAUGAAAAUAAAUGCAUAGCCAUAAUAAUAGUUACAAUAUUUAAUUACACCAGAAUAAAGAUUUUGUGAUAACAAAAACGUUAUUACGGUUUUUAACAAGGUCGACAUCCUUAUACCAAUUAUACUCAUGAUGGUGUCAUGCAAACCUUUCAUUUGCUCUUCCAUCGAUUAGUUCAUGUGGAAGAUGUCAACCGCAAUAAUCAUCACUACAACUAUAUAUCAUUAGUAGUUUCUUCUUCUUCUUCACCAUAAAUACGAUACUCUCAUUAUCUCAUAUCCUCUACCAACAUGAAAAAUCACAUUAAUAGAACUGUGAAGUGCCAUCAUCGCUAUAACAAACUUCAUCUCUUCAUGUAAACUAUAUUUUAUAUGAUUAUCUGUUAUUUUGCUUUAUAUAUAUCUCAAUACAUGCACUUUUUAACAGUUUGCGUGGAGCUUGUUCUUUUCGUCUCAAAUAAUGGUAUAUGUGACACGUCUAUUCUCCUUGUCCAAACAGUAUUCUAUUGGUCUUUCUGAACGUCUUGGCAUGUUUUAUGGGGUUAUGAUGGCGUCUAAGAAUAUGAUUAACAAGGAAGUCAAAUAUUUUGAUCUACACGGAGAUUUUUUUUUUUUUGGUAAAAUCCUAGAAGGAGAUUUAUGCUCUCAAAAUAACGAAACAAGGAGAUUCAUAGGUUUAUCGAAGUAGCGGCAACGAUUUGAUCCAUGGUUCUAUCAGAAACUUUCAUAGCUUAGUUAAAACAACCUCAAUAGCUCAAUACAAGACCACAACCCAAAUGUAAUUGGUCCCCAAAAAAAAGACCUCACCCAAAUGCUCUUCCGAUUCCGAAACACAAUGCAGUAACGAUAAAUAUUACAAACGGUGUUGCAUGUCCCUUACCAAAAAACAAAAGGCUCAAGUUUGCAAAACACACAGUCACACACACACACAAGACUACAGAUUUCAGAUCACAGUCUUAUUCAAAUUCUCUCCGAUGAAGAAAGCAAAUUGUUUUUUUGUUAAUUAAUAUUUUUCACGAAUUGAAACUAAAAAAUUGAAUCCUUGUUCGUGCUCUUCCUUUAUUCUUCUUGUCAUUUGUAUUUAUAUUUACAAAGAGGCUCUCUGCUUCAAUGUAAACCGAACCGGUUCACCCAUUAUGUUUCUGGAAUCCUCAAUGAAUUUUUAAAAAUUAAAACUGGUUCUCUUGCUCAACCGCUGAACCUCACGAAUGCAUUACGUUGGAAAUCUCCCGAGUAAAUUGGUUUUGUGUUGAAACCAUUUUACGGUUUAGUUAGGUACCCUAUAAACCGGUUGAUUGAUCAAACGACGAAGCUUUUGCCUUAGCUCGUCGGCCCAAACUAGGCCCACAUCUCUUUGCUUGUUCUUCAUCUCCACCAUCACUAAUUCGUCUGUUAAACGGCGAAUUUUGACUACGAUAUUAGCUACUCCCUUUGGCCCUUCCAGCUUUAUCGCUCUCUCCUUCUUCUUCGCAAUCCUCAGAUUCAACUGCUUCGCUACCUCCACGACCUUUCCCAUAAUCUCCGCCGGAAACUCGUCGGAGACGAACUGAUCGCAGUGAUCCGGCGUCACGAAGUUUCCGAACAGACCGGCGAGAUUCGCCGUUGACGCCGACGCGAUUAACUCGAAGGCGUUUAGUUGAUCCCCGUUUUCCUCCAGAUCGUAAUCGUCGGCUUGGAUCCCUAUGAUUUCACUCGGAUCUACUCCAUGAUUGAACCACGGAUCUUUGAGAAUCUCCUCGACGGUGAUCCGUUUUUCUGGAUCUGGCUCCAAUAGACGGCGGAGAAGCUGCCGGAGAUCUGAAGAAGUCCAAUCCGGCAUCCUGUAUUGAGCCUUGUGGAUUUUCCGGUAGAGUCCCAUGAUGUUAGGAUCUCGAAACGGCAAGUAACCGGCGUUGAGAAGGAACAAAACGACGCCGCACGACCAGAUAUCCGCCUUAGAUCCGUCGUAGCCUUUCUUCAGGAGAAGCUCCGGCGCAACGUAAGCCGGAGUUCCGCAGAGCGUGUGGAGCAUACCGUCGGCCUGGAUCUGCUCUCUCAUCGCACUGAGACCGAAGUCGGAGACCUUCAGAUCUCGAUUCUCGUCGAGGAGAAGAUUCUCCGGCUUCAAAUCGCGGUGGAAAACACCCCUGGCGUGACAAUACCUCACGGCGGAGAUCAACUGCCGGAAAUAUUUCCGGCUUAGACUCUCCGUGAAUCGAUUGCUGGUGACUCUGGAGAAGAGCUCACCGCCUUUGGCUAGCUCCAUGACGAAAUAGAUCUUCGUCUUGGUGGCGAGGACUUCGGAGAGGAGCACGAUAUGAGGAUGACGGAGACGGCGCAUGAUAGAUAUUUCUCGCUUAACGUGCGCCGUGAGCCCGUCUUUUAAACGCUUCUUUUGGACGACUUUGAUCGCAACGCUUUCGCCGUUAUUUUGAAGAUCCUCCGCCUGGUAGACUUUGGCAAACGCGCCGAUUCCGAGAAGCUUCCCGAGAUUGUACUUACCGAACAACGCCGAUUGGUUAUCAUCUCCGACGAGGUUAACGAUGAUAGAAUCGGAAGAGUCUUCGGCCAUUUAACGAUUAAACGCAAAUGGAAACAGAGUAUACAAAUGAAAUAAUACAUGCGCGCGAUGCCUCUUCUUAUUGAAACUCCUUAACUUGCCACGUAAGUUAUUUUGUUUAGGUUUUAAAUAUUCGUUUGACUUUUUGUGGAUUAAAUAAUUAAAAGAAAGAAAAAAUCAGCAGUUAGGACAAUUUCAAUGCAAAAGUUUUACUAACUCCGAAUUACAGUGGCGUAUGUAUUAACAAGGUUAGAAAAAGAGUCAUUUUAUCCCUAAUACUAGUAACUUAAGAUUCAAGGAACUGCUUUUUCAUGAUUAUUUUUUCCAAUGUUUGGUUAAUGUUUUCAAUUACCGGCGGCAAAAAAAUAUCUACCUUCUGAGGUCAACCAAGACAUUUUAAUCCCACUAUUCCAGGUGCGAUUCAAGUCUUUAUUAAUAUUUUAUAUGUAGGGGUUGAGAAAACUCGAUAAAAAAUAAACAUUCCUUGUUGUUGUUGACAAAAAAACACCUUUAUCAAAAAGAAUUUAAAAAUCGAUUUUAAAAUAUUUGAAUAAUUUUGAAAACACAACGUGGAUUGACGUUACUGUCGUUGAAUGCUAAGCAAUUAAUACUAUUCAUUAAGAUGGUUUAAGCUACAUUACUGGUUUUAGAUGGUAGUUAAUUUGGUUCAAAGGCUGGUCGAACAAAUUCAUUUAUCCAAUCACAAAAAAAAAAAAAAACACACACACACAAAAUGUGUUUUGGUUUAUUUAGUCGGGAGGGCAGCUCUAAUAGACGGAUCAUCAUUUUGUUAGUGUGACCUGCAGAUUUUUAUAGUAACGCCAAAUGCACCUAAAUAGACAUGAUGAUAUUUGGGUCUACAUCACUACAUGUAUAAAUUUGGGAUACAAACCACCGGUUACAAACCGUUUGCAAGAUUGGUUAUAAAUGGAGCGGUUUGUUUCUAAUUGCCUCUAGCUACCAAUCAAACCAAUUACAUAUUCCAGAAUAACGUUUAAAUUUGAGUGACAAAAACAAUAACAAUUAAAUCUAAAAUAGUAUUUGAACUUCAAUGUCAGCAUAAAAUAAUCACUUUCGGAUAGCUGGAUAGUUAACUAAAAUAGGGAUUUUAAUAAUUGAUGAAGUUAUGUUAUACUAAUCUAUUUGAAACUGGAUUCGUGGAUCCCAGUCAUUCGUGUGUGGAGUAAAAUCAUACUAGUAGCCCUUUUGGUGUUGAAAAAGCCAAAAUUUAAUCCUUACACGUGAACUUGUUCAAAAAAUGUCAUCUUAAAAAAAUUAUUAAUGAUAGAUACAAAGGCAAAAAACUCGACAAAGUAAACAUACUAAAAAAGAAAAACUCUUGCUCGUUCAUGGGUUCCAGUAUGUGAAUUAGUUGUAAUAGCUUUCGUAACGGUAUUUACUAUCUACAUAUUUACAUUUUAAUUUGAUAAAUUUUUGUCAAAAUUUUAAUGACUUUAUUGCACCAACUACUAGGAAGAAUUUGGGGACGUUCAUUUCAGAGAGAUCUUAGUAAAAAUGUUGCUCCUAUAUUUAUUGUAGCUGUCAUUUAAGAAGUCCAUUCUCUUCAUCAUGAUAGUAGAAAACACCUAAGAUGUUAUGAAACAAUAAUAACAACUUUUUGUAAGAACAAUGUUAUAAGAUACCUUUUAUCAAAAAAAAUUAUAAGAUAAAUCCAACCCUAGAGACAUAUUUGCUAUAUAUAUAACACCCAUAUUGUCAGGUAAUUUUGGUUGUAUCAUCCGGUCGUGGAGUUAUAUAGCCGACCAUAAAACUUGGCCAUUGAAUCAACCAUCAGAACGAUUUACCUAGCUGCCGAGUCAACCAUUUUUUAUUGUGAUUUAUCCAUGGGAGCAUCAAUUCAUUUGAGAAAAGAAUAUACAUCACCAUUAUAUUUUUAUUAUUGAUCUUCUCAUCGUUAUCGUCAUCACGAAUAACGUCUUUGCUUCAAAGAGACACCGUCUUAAUUCCACACCGUAAGGGUGUACGUACGUAAUCCAUCGUCCGUACCAUCAAAAACCAUACCCCCACCGUCACUCUUAAUCUAUGGUGUUUCUACUUCGUCAAACAUCAUCAUGGUUUUGAUUUCUUUUUUAUUAAAAAAUCGACGAAGCAAUGUUCUAGAAAAAUCCGUCACUAAGAAUUGGACGUAUCUUCUUCGUUUUCGUGAAAAGAGCAACAUAAAAAAAUAAUCUUACAACCAUUUCAUCAAUACUGAGGGAUUGGUUUAGCUAAUUUUUCAAAGUUGUUUUUCCUUUUUCUUUUUGUUGUCGGCUUAAGAAAGUUUAGAUUACGAAAGUACAUUAAAUUCUUUUUUUAUAAAACAAUAGUUUCAUCCAAACACAUCAUCAUUAAGAGAGCCGAAACGUCUUCAAGAACUCACACAAAAGGACAACAACAUAAACUAUGUAUUACAGAUUGCUUAUAACGAAAAUUUGCGUUAUCUAAAUUCAGUCCAUGUGAGUCCAACAAAAAAAUCAAUCAUUUCUACACUGGAAUCCACAAAUUUCUGAUUUGGGUUUACAUAUACAACCAAAGCUUCCACCUAAUAGGUAAACACACUUUACCAGUCGAUAAACCAGUAAGAUUCAAAUUUAUGCAUGGCUUCCCCACAUACAAGAAUAUAUGUAUAUGUGUAUAUGAAUAUUCUAAGUGGUCAUAUGGAAUCCAUAAAUCCAAAAAGAUUGGAAUAAAAAGAGUAAGAGUAACGCAGCGAAAAUCUGAUGUGUAAAAGAGAUGGUUUUGGAAGUUGUUGCAAUAGAAGCGUAUGAUAAGAAAAGAGACAUGCACUUGAGCUCUACCGAGAAGGAAGUAGGCGAGCCAUACGCAUCUGGAUGAUAUAUGAUUUCUCCUUGACCACAUUUGAAUUCUCCUAAACUCCAUUCCUAUAUAUUGUUUCAUAGAUUUAUCAAAAGAUAUGAUUACCAUACAGUUGAUUUGAUCAUAUCAUAUAUUAUUAACAAGUGACAUAUAAAUAGUGUUGAAGUGUUCAUACGAACCUCAAGCUGGCGACCAAAAGUGACAAGGAUAGUGUCGGGAUCAGCGUGGAAAGAAAGUGGGCCUUUUCCUGAGUUGAUACGGAACUCGCAGUUCUUGGCCGGAAGGUGAAGGCUGAGUGUGUAAUGAAGCAUUUCUUCUGUCUUUUCUUUAGGCAAAGGAGGGCUUUGCUCUGUGACGUUUUCAUGAUUGUACCUGUAAACGCUGAGCACAGAUUCUCCUCUUUGUAUUCUUUUAUCAGUCUGUCUCCUUGAGUUUUCUACCAUUAUUUGCCCUAGUUUCCUUGCUACCCCUUCAAGUUUAUCAGCUACAUUCUCCAUUUCUUGGCUGCAACAAAGAUCCAAAUAUUUUAUCCAAAAUCCUCAAAUCACUUCUUUAUUCAUAAUAACAUUCAAGUUUGUUAAAAAAAGUGUGGCCCAAUAACGGCCCAAUACCUGAAACAGCGGUACCUUUCCGGUCCGAUAUACUCGCGCGCCCAUUCCAUGCGCUCCUUCCACGACCGAACCCAAACGAUCUCGUCUCUGUUUCCGACAACACUCCGGCGAAACCCGGUGUCUCUUCCCUCUAAAACUCCGAAAACCCGACCCGAUUCCCUAACAAGAGACCUAAGCUCCUCGCUCGAUAUCCCAUGGUAGCUCACACGAAACGCCCCGAACUCCCUCGCCGAUCGCACCAGACGAUCCACCGAUCCUUCUCUCCUCGACGCCAAUAGCCGGAAAUCAAUCUCCGCCGGGAUCAGGUGGCGUGAACCGCAAGAUUCACCGCCCGAAUGAGAUUCAGGGAGCGUGAGCUCUGGAACCUGGAUCGAUCUCUCGAUGAUCUCGGUGAGGAUCUCGCUCGCAGCGGAGCGAGAUCCUCUGGCUCUAGGGAUCGGAGACGGAGGAGGUGGUGGUGGAGUCAAUGAAGAUACGUUCAAUUGGCUCCUGGUUCGCAUCAGAGCCAUCGGAGAGAGAAGAUGAUCCGACGUUUUCGGGCGGGUUUCCAAUUAAUAAAAUCCGCCCCAAGAAAAAAAUGGAAAGACUUUUUUGUUUUUCGAUUGUUAGAGAAGGCACAUUCCUUUGCGUAUUUCUUUUAUUUGUUUUGUAUUCAAUUUCUUGAGAAAGUGAGGGUCCAUUACUGAAUUCGAAUGUAAGAAAAAAUUAAUAUUUUAUUUACUUCGUGUUGUUUACAUGAUUGUGAUAUGGUUUAGUGAAUGAGAAUGAUGAUGAUCAUAUAUGGUUCUGUAACUUCAUUUGCGCUGUGAAGAUUCGAAUAUGUCAGAUGGAAAAGCUUUGAGAAAUGCAUUCAUAAGAUGUUUGCCACCUUGAGUUCUUGGGCCAUUAUAUGGGCCGCAUUGAAUGUUUUGAUCCGGUCCACAUGUUUAAGUGCUAAUCAAUCUCAAGGACAAGAUAGAUAGGCUUUUGAAAAUUUGCGAAGAGACAAAGGAUUUGAAUUUCCUCUUUUAAGGACCAUAGUCCUUAGGAAGAGGAAACGAAAAAGUUUGACAUAUGUGGACAUAAGGCAAAGAAGUAAAGGUUGUCCAGCACUGUAAUAAGACAUUAAGACCAUUGAAUAAUUGAGAAACCCUUAAUCACUUGGAUCCAAUAUUUUAGUAUCCCCUUUCAUAUAUAGCUUCCCUUUUAGUAUGUUAUUAUAGACUAUAUAUCAAGCCCCAUUAACUACAUGUGGACAUGAAUGAUCAAAUUUAGUUACCCCGAAGUUGACAUGAAUGAUCAAAUCUAACAGAAACAAGUACUAUAAAGUCUGUUAAUAAGAACCCCAAGCUAAUCGAAGGGUCGUUAUUAAUAAUACAUAUGUAUAUCUGUACCAAUUCGUUUUCUCGUGGCGUAAUUAAAAUAUAAAAAUUUGUACCAACCAAGUUUUUGAAUUCGUUUUUUUAAGUUUUAGAUAAGUGGACCAAACUAAGUUAACAAGUGUAAGUUCUACAUUUUAAGUAGCAAAAGAGAAAAGUUAGCAAGUGUGGUGUGUGUGCAUAAUUGAAGUUAAAGGGCAUGCAUGUGAUUAUACACUAAUUGGUUAGUCAUAGCAUCUUCCGUACGUUAGUAAGCUUCGCUUAUGGUCCCCAUUCGAAUACUCCUUUUAUAAUUUGCUCCACCAGAUUUUGGGCAAUAAGAUGACAAAUUUAACUAUCAAAACGAAGAAUAGGAAGCAGAACCAUUCGGAGGAUAAAUUUUAUUAAAAACAGUUGUUUAUUAUUACAAAUGAUAUAUACGUAGGUGUCGCAGUAGGAGACAUGGAACAAACACCGAAGCUGUCGCUAUCAAAGAAGAUGUAAUGGAAGUGUGAAAAUAGCUUAUAAACUCUUUUGCAUGGGUCGGAGAAGACAAUCACCACCUCCCCUAAUGAUUUUGUAUUUCGAAAAUCUUCACUUUAUCGAAGAAAUUUAUUUUUAUUAUAAGAAAAUUGCAGCUAAAAUGCCUUUAAGAUGACACCAUCAUUGAAUUUUUUUUUUCAGAAUCUUUUAUAUUAUCGAAGAAAUUGUUAUUUAAAAAUUGCAAAUUGCAAUUAAGUAGAAGCCCUUAAUUAAUCCCUUUCAACAACGUAUUAUGAUGUUUAAUUUUAUCCUUAUUGUUGAACCAACAAAAUACAAUUAUCCUUAUUCUAAAUUUUGGCUAAUGAUUCAAAAUUUCACAUUUUCUUAACUCUUGUGUUAAUAAAUUAGUAAUUAAUGCUAAGGGUGCAUCAUUUAUGCAUACAAAGAUAACUAUUUCAAUAUUUUCCGUAAGAAAAUAUUUUUGUGAACCAAACAAAAAAAAAUGUUGGGAAAGGAAUAGUGCUCAAUGUAGAAGAGCUAACGUACACUUGUCAAAACCUACGUGAAACCUUGUCUUUCUUUCAUUAUGUAAACCGUGGAAGCAUUUCAAACAGACACACACGGUAAUUCUGAUAUUAGCAAGCCUAAAAUAACUUGGAUGACCAGAUUUUAAAAAGUAAACCAUAUACUAAAAAGCAUGCAUAAGGAAGCUCAAUAAACAAGGAACAUAAAAUCAUAAACUAUAAAAAAAACAUGGAAAAAAAUAGCUCAAUACACAACGUGCAUGAGGUCGGAUAUUUUCUAGUAAAGAACAUGAUUUUUCAUUGCAUCAUUGGCUUUAAGUUUCCUUUCUAUAGUUUUCAAACAUCUCGGUUUGUUUGUUAAUGACACAUUUUUAUUUAUAGUUAAAUGUUAUGUUAGUGCCGACAGAAAAAAAUAUUACAACAACAGUACAUGAAGAUGUCGGUUGAAUGAUUAAAUUUUAUGUCAUUCUGAUGGACUGUCGAUCAACUUUCAGGUAACAUCGACAAAAAUUGUAUGUAUAUAAGAUUGAGUUUUCUAAAGAAAGAGGCUUGAAUCUAAAGUCCUAAACUUUUACAGGUUAUAAAACUUUAGAACGCAAAUAUAUUGUUCGAUAGUGUUUAUCGUUACCAGUUAAGCAUUAUUCCCAGACAAAAAAUAACUAACACUGUAAAAUAUGUUUUAGAAUGUGUUUUAAUUUCCUAUGCAUCGAACCAGGACAAAGCUUCUUCGCUGUCUACAUUUUGGGGGAUAAUAUAAGAAAAACAAAACUUCAAACAUGUUUAUCAAUAGACAAUUAUUAGGUUUAGAUUUUGUGUAGCAUAUGGGAAUUUUUAUCCAUUAUUUAUUAUACAAAUUUAGAUAUAGGGUGUAGCAAUAGAUAAUAAUAGUAAUAAUAAUAAUAAUAAUAAUAAUAAUAAUAGUAAUAAUAAUAAUAAUAAUAAUAAUAAUAAUAAUAAUUAUAAUAAUAAUAAUAAUAAUAAUAAUAAUAAUAAUCCUAAUCCUAAUCCUAACAAGGUUUCUGUGAAGAUGAUAGAGUUCCGAAAGCUUUUUUCUUCUCCACUUUCAUCAUGAGUGGCAUUCUCAUCUGAUAGACAAUACUUAAUCUUUUUAAUUACAUAUAUAUGGGAUAAUUGCUUUGUUGUCUUCUGUACAUUAUCCGAAUCAAACGUCUACCAAUUAAUAACCAGUUUACAUACAAACAUAUAUAUUAAACAUUACUAUUUCAUCCCUAACGAUACUUAGUAUAUCCAAGCACAUUAUAUUAGCACUGAAUCCCGGAUACUUUCUACAUAUUCUUAUCAUAAAACCUAGUUCCCGCUUUUACAACUAAUUUUGCAAAUACAGUAAAACCUCUAUAAAUUAAUACUCGAUAAAUUAAUAAUCACUAUAAAUUAAUAAAGUUUUUUGGUCCCGAGUUGGGACCAGUGUAAAAAUCCAUCAAAUUCGAUAAGAUAAUAAAAUAAUAAUUUUUUUGAAACUCCUAUGUAAAUAUAUAGUCCCAACAAAAAUAUAAAUUAAUAAUUAUAUAAAUAUAUAUACAAAUAAAUAUAUAUAUAAUAUUUUAAAAUAUGAAUAAUGUGUUUACUUUUACUUAAAGUUGAAAGUUUAUUGGUGUUCAUCUAUUUGUUUAUUACAUCUCUAUCUCUUAUUGUUUUUUUGAUAUUCAUUCAAAUUUGUGAAGAAUUUUUGAUAUAAUAAUUGGUUUUCUUACACGUAAAUAUCUAUAAAUGUAUUGUAAUAUUGUCUUCAAUUUCAUCUUUUUGAUAAUAGCCACAGUUUCUUAUAAAUUUUGAACUUCUAAACAUGUAUAUUUUUAAUAGAUAAAUUAAUAUUCUAUUAAAAACUAUUUUGUUAUGAUAACUAUAUUUAUUAAUCAUUAUUUUUAUUAAGUUAUUAUCUUAAGUUUUUAAAUACAACAUUAUUCAAUUUUUUUUUUAAAAGUUAUAGACAAAAACUAGAUUAUCUCUAUAAAUUAAUAAUUAUUAAUUUAUAGAUAAAUUAAUAUCACGAUAAAUUAAUAAAAUUUCAUGGUUCCAACAUUAUUAAUUUAUAGAGGUUUUACUGUAUUUCUAUAUUUAACAGACCAAGAACUUGAUGAAUGUGGCCGGUCAUGUUGACAUGGCUCUUUAUUUAUAAUAAUAAAUAAAGACGUUUUAUACAGAAGUUCUUUUUAUAAAUACCCUGUUUUUUUCAUACUUCAGUCAACGUUUUAAACAUAUAUAUAUAUAUAUAUGUAUAUAUAAAUUUUAAGUGAAAUUUUUAGUGUCUAAAAUAUGUAAAAGUCUAGGCCUACUAAAACGAAGGAAUUAAAUUAUACCAAAAUUUGUAAUAAGGUAAUACAUGAAACGAUAUUUAAACAUUAAUCUCAAGAGACAAAUAUAAUAAAAAGCAAGAGUCGGCAAAUAUUUUAUGCUCCGAAAGAAACUACCAAGGUGAACUCAUAUUUUAUUUGAUUUUUUUACUAUAAAUGUCCUUGCUAUAAGUGGAAAGUAAAGUAUAAAGGAAGCAGCUUAGUUAAUUAGUUUGGUCUAACAUAAAUAUGUGGAAAUAUAUUAAACACACACACACACACACACUCCUUUACUGUCUACAUAACUAAAAGGAACAUGUUCCAAAAGAAAUAAAAAGCCCUAUAUAUAUUCUAAACAAAUGGAAAAAGGCAAGUAGAAAUGUAAAAUAAUUGAGAUUAAUUAGAGUGGACUAAUGGAACUAUGGAAGUGUGCAUAAAUACGAGGGAAAGGAACUUAAACAUUCUUCUUCUCUCUAACACACACAGAGACACUCGUUCCCAAAUUCUCUGGCAAUCCUCUUUUCGUAGUUAUCAACAAGUCUUUUUUGCUAUAAGUGAAGGGUGAUAGUAUAUAUAAUAUAUACAGAUAUCUAUAUAUAUGAGCAUGUGCAGAUCCAACAUGAAAAGUAGUGAAUCUGGAGAGAUUAUAAACGGAGAAUGCGAUGUUUCAACGUCAGUCAAAGAAGAAACUAGCGCCGGCAGCUCCAAAUUCUCGGCUGGCCUCCGUCGCAUCCCUUUGAACGAGGCUUGUUUCUUUCUUAUUUUAUUUUCUUAUACAUUUUCUUUCACAAAAUAUCGAUGGCUUAGAGAACUUACUCCGCUUAUUGUUUGAUUUCAUAGUUUUGGUGAUUGAAGAUUCAGGAUCAUAUCCACAUAUUAUUGGAGACGUUUUCUACGUUUUUAUUUAUAUUUUUUUCGAUGUUUGACAAGCGAAUUAGUUAAUUUUGAUUGAUUAUAGUAUCAUUUUCAGUCACUUUUAUCGUAUUUUGGGAUGGUACGUAAUAUGGAAUUCUUGGAACUUGAUCUUAUACGUACUGGAUUGAAUGCUGCUUUGACUGUUUGUAUAGCUUCAUAAUGGAAAGUCAUGCAUCUCUUUUAAAACAAUCAAUUUGAACAAAACCCCUGUCACAAAAAAAAAAAUACAAUCAGUUUGAAGAAAACUUAAAAUAUUUAAACUUAGUUAACAAAUGUAGUUGGGAUCCAUUAUAUGUAACCAUUGUUUAUCUCUAUAUAUAACCAAAACUUGUAUUGUCUAUAUAUAUCUAAUGUUUGAAACUUUGAAUGUGUGUGUAUGUACAUAUUCAUAUGUAUGUAUAAAGCGUCAAUAGUAUGAUAUGUUAUCUCACUUUCAUGGACUGAGAUAGAUGGUGCUUUUAUUUUGGGUUGUACUUACACAAAAAGUUUCCUAUAUAUGCUUCCUCUUAUUAUGUACAUUUUCUAUUAGUCCUUUAGUUAGUACAAGUACUUUACUAUCUUAUUAAUUCCAUUUUUUAUAUAAUCAAGUCCUUCUUGAAAUACUUCAUCUAAUUCUUUUGUAAUCUAAAUAGUAGUUCAUGAUAUUUCUACAAUAUAUGCAUUUUUUUCUAGACCGAUUUUAUGUUGUUUGAAGCAUUGAUAUUUCUAUUGAAGUUCAUGAAAUGAAAGAUAUCUAAGCUGAUUGUGUUUUCCAAAAAGAAAAUAAAAAGGUGAGCUUUUUAGAACCCAUGAUGGUUUUUAUUUAAAAAGAUCCUAGAAUGUUGGUACAGUUAGCCAUUCGCUUUUCUGUCACUUGUGAAUUUGAUUAUUCAGUUCUAAAAGUUAUAGAAUUUAAACCUUUUUUCUCUUCUUUUUCAACUUUCUCAUCCCAGUCCCAGUGGCCAUGUGAUGCGACCAUCAUCCUCGUGCUUAGGAAUUGCUCUUAUAUUUAAAUUAUAUAAUAUUUUCUCGUAUUGUAUGUAAUAUCCUUCUGUUCGAUAAAAAAAAUGUUUUAAGAAUUUUUUUCUCUUACAAAAAAAAUCGUUUUAUAUUUCGUUUAACAACUAUACUAAUGAUUGAUAUACUAAGAGAUAGCUUAAUAAAUUUUAAAUAUGUGUGAAAUAUCAUAUUGAACGAGGCUUAUAUUGGAAGUGAAAACGUAUUAAAACCAAAUCGCCUACAUAUAUUCUAGUUUUUUUUUCCAUAGAUAUAUUAUUUUCCUGUGUUAUAUAUAAUAAACGAUUAAAGACUAGAUCAUAUAAAAGUAUUUUGUUAAAUGUCAAUAUACUUAGCUCGCGCGCUUCUUUCUUUAUAUGUAUAGUAUUUUCUUGAAUGCUUGUAACUAUAAGUCUAUAAGCCCAGUACAAUAAAAUAAUGAAUGCUUUUCUUGUUUAUUUACUUUUUUAUAUGUCUCGGAUUAAUAGUUAUUGACUUGAAAAACCUAACAUAUAUUUUUUCCUCCCAUGCAGGUGGGAGAGGAAAUGUCGUCGCUCACGAAAAUAGCAUGCCCGAUCGUGAUGACAUCACUCCUCAUUUUCUCGAGAUCAAUAAUCUCAAUGUGGUUCUUGAGCCACCUCGGAAAAGUCGAACUCGCUGGUGGUGCACUCGCCAUGGGCUUUGGAAACAUCACCGGAGUCUCCGUGCUCAAAGGCCUUUCCGUUGGUAUGGACCCAAUCUGUGGCCAAGCCUUCGGUGCCAAACGUUGGACCGUACUUAGCCACACGUUUCAGAAAAUGUUCUGUCUCUUGAUUGUCGUCUCUAUUCCAAUCUCCGUCACGUGGCUCAACAUCGAACCCAUUUUCCUCAGGUUGGGUCAAGACCCGGAUAUCACACGUGUCGCCAAAACAUACAUGGUCUUCUUCGUCCCUGAGCUCUUGGCUCAAGCCAUGCUUCACCCGCUACGAACGUUCCUUAGAACGCAAGGCCUAACGUCACCAUUAACGAUAUCAGCAAUCGUAUCCAUUCUUCUUCAUCCUCUCUUUAACUACGUCUUCGUCGUGCGUAUGCGUUUAGGCGUUAAGGGCGUUGCAAUCGCAAUGGCUUUUAACACAAUGAACAUCAACGUUGGACUACUCGUUUACACGUGUUAUUCGGAUUCUUUAAUCAAACCUUGGGAAGGGCUAGCUUUGCGGUCUCUUUUCCGUGGCUGGUGGCCGCUUCUUUCUCUAGCCGCACCAAGCGCAAUCUCUGUGUGUUUGGAGUAUUGGUGGUAUGAGAUAAUGCUUUUCCUUUGUGGGCUUCUUGGAAACCCUAAAGCGAGUGUGUCCGCCAUGGGAAUACUGAUUCAAACAACGGGACUACUCUACGUAGUCCCGUUUGCUAUAAGCUGCGCUAUUGCAACUCGUGUAGGCCAUGCUCUAGGAGGUGGGCAACCUACACGAGCUCAAUGUACGACCGUGAUUGGUUUGAUACUCGCAGUAGCUUACGGUUUAUCAGCUGCUGUUUUUGUGACCGCUCUUAGGUCGGUUUGGGGAAAGAUGUUCACGGACGAACCGGAGAUUCUAGGGUUGAUUUCGUCUGCGCUUCCGAUAUUAGGGCUUUGUGAGAUCGGAAACUCGCCGCAGACGGCUGCUUGCGGAGUCUUGACGGGCACGGCAAGGCCUAAAGAUGGGGCACGCGUUAACUUAUGUGCGUUUUACAUUGUGGGCUUGCCGGUGGCUGUUACAACCACGUUUGGGUUUAAAAUUGGGUUUCGUGGGCUAUGGUAUGGACUGUUGGCUGCGCAGAUUACAUGUUUAGUUAUGAUGCUUUAUACAUUGGUUCGUACGGAUUGGGCUCACCAGGUGAAGCGAGCAGAGGAACUUACUUCUGCUGCAGCCGACAAAAGUCAUUUGUCAUCGGACGAAGAAACCGUCCAAACUGAAGUAGGAGUUGAUGAUGAUGUUGGUAGCAAUGAUUUGGAGAUUGGUUUACUACAAAACACCAACUAAUCUAGAAAUUUUAAAAUUUUCAAUCGAUCAUUUUAAUGGAUUGUUAAUUACAUAGGAAUUAUUUUGUUUUGUUUUUUUUUGCAAACUAAAAUACCCAAGAUAGAUAUUUGCAUCGUAACAUUUGAUAGGUUUUAUAAUCUUGUAAAACCAGAACGUUUCAUUUUAAUGAAAUAUUUACAUUCUUAGCCAUAAAAAUAUAUAUUUGCAUCGGAAUUGCUAACCAAUAUUUUGGCAAAACAAUCAUAAGUACCUAUUAAUUGGUUGAGUUUAUAUUAUUAGCACAUGUAAUCUAGUACGUACAUGGGUUAUCUAAUAUUUUCCCCCAUGUUUCUUUAUGUAAGUCAGCACUCAGAACUCAGAAGUAUGCAGUGAAGAAACAGUUAUCAAAAUGGCUUUGCAUUUUGUAUAUAACUAGCAACAAGUUUGAUACGGCCCAAACUUGUGAAUAUACUUGCUCAUUCUUUGUUUUUUUUAAACUCUAAAUAUAUUGCUGAUUCUGAUCAAACUAAGCUAUUUAAAAAAGAAAAGAGAUUGUUUGUAAAGCUAAAACCAGAGAAAGGAAAAUUUAACUAACUAAUCAAAUAAAGAAAAUAGAAAAAUGGAACUCAAAUAGGUUUUGGGGAAACCAUGUCUAGAUUAGCUAAGAAGACUAAAACUUACGGGAAAAAGAUAUUGAAACCGAAAUCAAGGAAAAGGGGCCAUAGUGAGCCGAACUUUAACAGGAGCAAGUAGAGUAAUUUAUUGCCAAAUUUGAUUAUUUAUAUCCAGUUAAUUUUACUGUAUCUCAGUUCAAAAUCAAUUGACACAAAACGAUGGGUAUUUAUCACAAUGUAUUCAUAAAAUAUAUUGAAAUUUCUCACUUGCAUAGAUGUUAUCCGUAUCCCAUGUAUUUACCUCAUAUGGACUUUCUGGUCACACGUGUUGUGCGUACAUAUAAUAUGUUGCAUGUGGCAUUUCGGUGCCUAAUUCUCAAGGCAUAUAUCAUGUACCCCUUUAGGCACCGACAUUUUUGAAACAGUAAAUACAGUUUCUCGUGUUAAACAGUAAAUAAGAUUACACAUGAAUAAAAAAACUACAGAAGACUUAUUUUGACGUGUUCCUACCCAUACCCAUAUCCUACAGGGAACUUUUAACACAUUUUCUGACCGAAAGAACAAUCGUUCAAAAGUAUCGAGUUAAAGAUAAGAUUACAAAAUAUUUUUUUUCCUUUCAAAAUACUUAAUUUAAACGUAUCUAUUGAUUUAUUAUGUUAAAAAUUUAAGGAUAAAUAAACUAGUGAGGUUUUGCGUAAAAAAAAAUGGUGAGCUUUCGGUUUCAAAAAAGUCUCAAACUUGAAUAAGCAUAUAAUGCAUAUAUUAAUGCUGACAGAGCAAAUUCAUUAUUCUGCAGUAGGAUGGUAGAUAGAAAAAUUACACGACUCAAUUUCUUGGUGUGUAUUGAAUGAGAAUCGAUAAAAGUGACAUGUGUAUAUAAAUUAUAAAAUGCAUCAUUGCUAUUGGGGAAAAAAAUUCGAUUUAUUUAGCAACGAUAUAUGAUUUUGAAAAAGUUACAGUCUCAAAUUCGAUAUUUAAUAAAGCCAAUAAUUUUUCGUUGUUAAACGAUUUUCACGAAUCUACCAAUUUAUCCUGAAUUAAAAAUUUUAUAUGAUAGAAUAACUUCAUGUUAAUAUGUUAUGAUUGAAAGUUAUUGUAAUAUGUUAUCAUUCGAUUUUUUUUCCGGAAAAUUAAUUAGCAUUGUUUUGAGUCUUUUGACACACUGAAUUGUUUUCUUAUUAUGAAAGGCACAUACUUGUACAUCUAAAAUAAUAUAUUUCUAUCUAUAAAUACUUAUCAAAUGAAGCACUUAGUUUUACCGGGAUAAGACUAGAAUAGGCGACGGUCGAAGUGAUGGACUUGAAAAGCAAAGCAACCGACAAUGCAUGACCCCAUCCCACCCAUGUGUCAUGCAUUCAAUUUUUUUCACAUAACGACGAACCAUCUACAUACACUCUAUGGUGUUGGAGGGCAGCGAAAACCGACACCUUCUUGUGUAUAUCCUUACGGAGAAAUUUUCAGGGAAGCAAACAAAAGUUUUAAAUAAAAUAUUCAUGUACUAAUCAAAGUCAUACUCUUAAACCUAUAGAUAUCAUAAAAGGAGAAUUUUUUGUUUAGGUUUGUUCUCUUUAAUAAACUCAUCUUGGUUUCAAGCUUAAUUUCGUUCGUAAAUUGCUACGUUUUUUUGUUAAAGAUAGUAAAUUGUUACGUUAAAAGAUUCAGAUCGUCAGAUUUGGAUUUUCUUGUCAAAAAGUAGAUUUUAUUUUUCUUGUUCGUCAAUUGUUGGAUCGUAAGAUUAUCGUCUUCGCAUAAAAAAAAUGAUGACCAAUUUAAGUACGUAUUUGACAUAUGUGAUAUGUUUAAUCUAUACUUCAAUCAUUACCAAAUUUUAUGUAUUUUGUUGUACAUGUUUAAUCAUAUAUAUUUUUCUUACCUCUGGUAAAAUCAUUUUAGCUGAUACUAUAUACCGUGUCUACAAAAUCGAUGUACUUCAUGAUCAUUCUCAUUAUGUAGAAGAUAUUGAACACAUGAUGUUAAAAUAAAUAAUAUUUAAUGAAUUUUUUUUUUUUUUGCUAAAAUAAAGUUUAAUGAUAGUUCUAUGUAAAAUAUCUAUUUUGCGUAUCCAAUGUACACCUAUUUUCCUUAUUUGUUUUUUCGUACCACAUCUAUAGAAUUUAAAACUCCUAAGAAAUAUUGGAAAUUCAAAAACAAGUACGUUGGUUGUAGAACUUUUACAUAAAAAAAUAUAAAACUGAGCUAAAAAUGUCAAACAAAAUAGAUGAGAGGUCCUACAUAAUUAGGACCUCUGCAUUAAAUGAAAUCAACAACCAACCAACUACUCCUAUUCCUCUAAUCGCAUUCACAUUACAUUUCUCUAUAUAAAUACUCGCUCCCCAAACUCUCUUCAUCACUCAUCAUUACACACACAUCUCAUUUUGCAAACCAUCGAAAACAAACCCCUAGAACUAAGAGAGAAAAUGGCUGGUCUAAUGAAGUUGGCAUGCUUGGUCUUGGCUUGCAUGAUUGUGGCCGGUCCAAUCACAGCCAAAGCGGCUCUUAGCUGUGGAACCGUUAGUAGUAGCUUGGCACCGUGCAUUGGCUACUUGACCCAAGGUACGCCCCUUCCCUUAGCGUGCUGCGCCGGCGUUAAAAGACUAAACAGCAUGGCCCGUACAACCCCGGACCGUCAGCAAGCUUGCCGUUGCCUUGUUGGAGCCGCCAACGCCUUAGGUUCCGGUCUCAACACUGGCCGUGCAUCUGGACUUCCUAAGGCAUGUGGUGUCAAUAUUCCAUACGCAAUCAGCAAAAACACUAACUGCGCCAUGUAUGUGUUAAUCUCUCACUCUCUCUGAUACAUAUGAAAACUAAAGGUUUCUUGUUUUGUUACAAUACGAAUAUACGAUGUAACUAAUAUUAAAGUUAGUUUUUUUGACAAAAUGAAGAUUUGAGUUUGCUAUAAAACGGUUUCAUGUUUUACUAAAGUUUAUAAGUCUUCCCGGUUCAACCAUGUUCCAAUAUAAAAGUUGAAUUUUUAUACCGUUGCAACAAGUAUAUAUUAAAAGUUUAUUUUUUUGAGUGGAAAUUAGAGGUUUUUAUAUAGUAACGGUGUUAUGUUUAUUUGUAUGUGGUUGCAGCGUGCGUUAAAUGAGCGGCGGUCGGAUGAAGCUCUAGCGGAUGUUUCAAAUAUUAUAUGAGACUAUGAGAGAAUACUAAAUAAGAUGUAAUGUCUGUUUUUUUUUUGAGUUUUUAGUUUCCUGUCUUUUUUUCUUUUUUCUUUUAUGGUGGCGUUCCUAUUACUUGGUCGUCUGUACUAUGUUCGCAAUCAACGUUAUAUGAGUUUCAAAGUUCACAUUAUUUUAUAUUCUUACCAAAUCUUAGUUUAGUUUCAUCGAUAUGAAAAAUGAUCAUUAUACAUUAACAAUAUAUAUAUAUAUAUAUAUUGAUUUGCAUUACAGUUGGGAAGUAACGGAUAAUUUAAAUUUAAUUUUACAGCCAAAUAAAAUAACGGGACAUUCUCCAAAUUUGUACUAUUUACUUGUUUAGACUUAAGAUAAUCGAGAAAAUGAUGGAUCGCUAUAUGGAAUCGUGACAACUCUUGGAAAACCAGGACCCUAUCUUAUAAUGUGCCCAAAACUAGGGAUUUAUUUCAGUUUGACUUAAUUAAUUUUACAGAUUAGAUAAUGAUUUGGAUAUUGGACAAACCAAUAAAAUGAACAUAACGAAAUAAUAUUUCUAUCAAAAUUUGGUUAUCUUUUCAUCAUUGUUAGUUAUUAUUUUUUCUAAUUUAAUUUAAUUUAUAAUCUACCGUGUGAUGAAUUUUUUCUAAAGAAGAAAAAUCAAAAUUCUGUUAAACUCCAUACAGCUCCCAAAAGUCUAGGCCCAAUUCUGGUUGCUCUCUCAGUGUUGCUAAUUAACUACUUUUUUUUUUAACACAUCGAGGGAAACUCAAUUUUACAAUCAAAAUCAAACCAAUAAGUCUUAACCAUGAAAUAAUACCAAAGAUGAUGAAAUACAUUAGAGAAAAACCCAUAUAAGCUGCUAUUGUUGUAGAUGAAGUUUUUUUUGCAGAUUUAUUGGAGGCAACUGUGCGUUUGGGAAACAAAAUUUGGGAGGUGAGAAGAAACUCGCGUUGUGAUAAGAAAAUAGCGCAAUCACAUUUUGACGGAAAUUUACAAAAUCAUAGUUAUACCGGAAAAUCACCGACUGUUUGUUGAAUUAGUCCAAAGAGACUCAUGUUGGUUCAAGGUUUUUGUUUGUAUAGGUGGUUAUGUGAUAGAAAUAGUCGGAUUUAUAUUUCUGUUCUUCCGAAAUAACAUUUGUUGAUUUUUCUUUGUUGAUUAUUAGUCUAAUGUGUAUAAAAAAUGAUAAAGUUAAACAAAACGGGUAAAUUAUCGUUUUGCAUAAUUUUCUUACAUAUUUAUUUGAUCCACAGCGAAAAACGGUCUUGGGACAGCAGCUCUCAAGAUUAACAGCUACAGUUUGUAAAACAAAUGUAGACUUUGUUUGAGAAAGAGGAGUUUUUUAAAGUUUUUGAAACUCAUAUGUGUUUUUCUUGUUUUGUGAAGAUAUAAUUUGUGUGUACUUAACGCAUAUAUCUAGUCUUGUAUGAGUGAAUCAAAUAUUUAAAAUAAAGAUUGCAAUGUAAAUUUCUAGACUUAUAUACAUAGUGCAUACAUAUUUGUUGAAAAAUGAGAGCAUAAUAUAUGGUUUUAAUUAUAUUAAAUUUUCGUGUUGCGUGACUUGCGUUUCAUCUCAUUAAGAAAGUUUUUACGUAUUUUGUUGGAUCCGCUAGCUAAAUUAUUUUCAUUUGUUAAUCGGAUGUAAAAGAUAUUAGUCAGAUGAUGUUAAGUAAGAUACAAUAAGAAUAUAACAUUUAGUGAUAUUUCUACGUGAAAUGACUAUUUUCUUAUCCAUGUAUAGUUUUAACAUUCUUAAAAUGAAAAUGCAAGAGAGAUUACAUACGUCUUUUUGUGGGUGGGGGGGGGGGGGGGAAAAGAACUACGGUAAAAAAUGUAAGUAUUAUAAGUUUUCAGAAAAAUAAUAUGAUUGAAAUGUCAAACAAAAUACGUAGAUGAGAAAUGAGAGGUACUCACCACUCCUACAUAAUUAGGUACUGUACAUUAAAUGUAACCAACCACCAAUCAACUAAUCAUUUCCUCUAAAUCCCAUUCACAUUCACAACAUCAAAACUUUCUUUCUCUAUAUAAACACUCACUCCCUCAACUCUCUUCAUCACCCAAUAUCACUACACUACAUACAUCUGCUUCUUCAAACAACCAAAAAAAAAACUAUAUUUCCAAGAUAAAAAGAAAAUGGCUGGUCUAAUGAAGUUGGCAUUCCUGGUCUUGGCCUGCAUGAUUGUGGCCGGUCCAAUCACAGCCAAAGCGGCUCUGACCUGUGGCACCGUUACCAGCAACGUUGCAGCGUGCAUUGGCUACAUUACCCAAGGUGGGCCCGUUCCAGGAGCUUGCUGCUCAGGCAUUAAAAACCUUAACAGCAUGGCCCGUACAACCCCGGACCGUCAACAAGCUUGUCGUUGCCUUAAAACUGCCGCUAAUGCCUUGGGCCCAAAUCUCAACGCUGGCCGUGCAGCUGGACUUCCUAAGGCUUGUGGAGUCAAUGUUCCUUUCCCAAUCAGCACCAGCACCAA